AGAGUUAGAAAUGGUAAAUGGAUAAAGAAGAUAGUUCUCUCUUCGGGUGAGAGAUAAAACCACAAAUGCUUUGAUUAAAAUGUUAUAUCCCUUACACUUCCUGCAUGCAAAAUAUAAAUAAGCCAAAUCUAACAACCUUUCCUAGAAACUUGGCACCACACUUCGAAAAUAAAGAAACUACUACUACCAGUACAACUGAACCCGAAAUACUCUCUAACAACUAGUAAACUUAUUCUCUGCUGCAGCUAUCCGUUGGUGCUUGAAUCUUCCGGCACUUGACCAGGUAAUCUCUCAACAGCUUCUCCUUCAAGCCAACGUCUCUCAUGCCAUGCAUUCUUCUCACCCCACAUAUUUAGGAUUCUUCCUCUGCACCCU
rnacentral:lncRNA from 1 species